rnacentral:rRNA from 1 species
AUUGAACGCUAGCGGGAUGCUUUACACAUGCAAGUCGAACGAGUGGCGGACGGGUGAGUAAUAUAUUGGAACGUGCCCAGUAGCGGGGGAUAACUACUCGAAAGAGUGGCUAAUACCGCAUACUCUUGGAGCGGCCGAUAUCGGCUUAGCGAGGUGGUGGGGUAAUGGCUUACCAAGGCAACGAACCGUAGCUGGUUUGAGAGGCCGACCAGCCACACUGGUACGGAGACACGGCCCAGACUCCUACGGGAGGCAGCAGUGGGGAAUUUUGGACAAUGGGGGAAACCCUGAUGCAGCCAUCCCGCGUGUAUGAGAAGGCCUUCGGGUUGUAAAGUACUGUUUGCAGAGAAGCGGUAUCUGCAGAAUAAGCACCGGCUAACUACGUGCCAGCAGCCGCGGUAAUAC